rnacentral:rRNA from 1 species
GGGCAGGAUAAGCGCUGAAAGCAUCUAAGCGCGAAGCCGUCUUCAAGAUGAGACUUCCUUACAGGGUCGUGGGAGACUACCACGUUGAUAGGCAGGAGAUGUACGCACAGCAAUGUGUUCAGUCGACCUGUACUAAUAGCCCGAAAUCUUUCCUUC